rnacentral:rRNA from 1 species
UACAGAGGGGGCAAGCGUUAUUCGGAAUUAUUGGGCGUAAAGGGCGCGUAGGCGGCCAUUCAAGUGACGGGUGAAAGCCCUCGGCUUAACCGAGGAACUGCCUGUCAGACUGGAUGGCUUGAGACCGGGAGAGGUGAGUGGAAUUCCCAGUGUAGCGGUGAAAUGCGUAGAUAUCUGGAGGAACACCGGUGGCGAAGGCGGCGUUCUGGACUGCAACUGACACUGGGGAACGAAAGCCAGGGGAGCAAACGGG